rnacentral:rRNA from 1 species
UGCGAGUCUAAAGGUUUCUUCGGAAACCUUGGCGAACUGCUCAGUAACACGUGGAUAACCUACCCUUGGGACUGGAAUAACCCCGGGAAACUGGGGAUAAUACCGGAUAGAUCAGGGAUGCUGGAAUGCACCUUGAUCCAAAGCUCCGGCGCCCAAGGAUGGGUCUGCGGCCUAUCAGGUAGUAGUGGGUGUAAUGUACCUACUAGCCAACGACGGGUUCGGGUUGUGAGAGCAAGAGCCCGGAGAUGGAUUCUGAGACACGAAUCCAGGCCCUACGGGGUGCAGCAGGCGCGAAACCUUUACAAUGUGCGAAAGCAAGAUAAGGGAACUCCGAGUGCCAGCAUCUAAUGUUGGCUGUCCUUGUGCCUAAAACGCACAAGAUAGCAAGGGCCGGGUAAGACCGGUGCCAGCCGCCGCGGUAACACCGGCGGCCCGAGUGGUAGCCGCUAUUAUUGGGUCUAAAGGGUCCGUAGCCGGUUCGAUAAGUCCUCUGGGAAAUCUGGUUGCUUAACAAUCAGACUGCCAAGGGAUACUGUCGAACUUGAGACCGGGAGAGGUAAGAGGUACUUCAGGGGUAGGAGUGAAAUCUUGUAAUCCCUGGGGGACCAUCUGUGGCGAAGGCGUCUUACCAGAACGGGUCUGACGGUGAGGGACGAAAGCUGGGGGCGCAAACCGGAUUAGAUACCCGGGUAGUCCCAGCCGUAAACGAUGCUCGCUAUGUGUCAGGUACGGUGUGACCGUAUCUGGUGCCGUAGGGAAGCCGUGAAGCGAGCCACCUGGGAAGUACGGCCGCGAGGCUGAACUUAAAGGAAUUGGCGGGGGAGCAC